CUCUUUUCUGAACUGUCGCCAUUACGCGCGUUUAAAAUAUUUCACGGUCCACCCAAAAGUGGAUUAAAUGUAAAGAUUAAAGUCCUGGUGAAGUUAACGAUACGCAUCUAAAAGGACGGACACUACAAUGGCUAAGAUGCGGUGCUGAGAGUUACCCACACAGUAAAACUCUGUUUGUGUUAAACCCAGACAACAUGUGUUACUGAUAAAAUGUUUGUCCUCCGUGUGACUUCGUGUUUCUUGGCCCUGAGUUUCCCUUGUUUGCUUUCAUGUGUUUUGAUUGAUCAUGUAUCUCCAUGCUCUCCAUGUUGGUAAUAUGACCCUGGACCACCCUAAUGACUACGAUUUUGGAUUUGCCCCUAAUAAAUCUUGC